GUUCCGGCCGCGCGGGGAUCCGGCCACGACGACGAUGGAGGAAGAGGAGGAGGAGGCGCACGCGGAGGCGGUGGCCCGCUGGCAGGCCGGCCUGGCGCGGCUCGUCAGAGACCCGCUCCUCUGCGACCUCCCGGCUCAGGUGACCCCCGAGGAGAUCGGCUCGCAGGUGGCGCUCGAGUACGGCCAGGCGAUGACGGUGCGCGUGCGCAGAGUCGACGCACCCGAGGCUCCCAUGCCCGUGGUGGUGGUGCAGAGCGCGAGCGUGCUGGAGCUCAAGAAGGCGCUGCGGCGGUUCGUGCAGCUGCGGCAGGAGCGCCAGGGCGGCGCGCGGCACAUCAGCUGGAGGCACAUCUGGCGGACCUACAGCCUGACCUUCGGCGGAGAGAAGCUGGCGGACGACCGCAAGAAGCUGCGGGAGUGAGUGACGUCGUGGGAUGGGAGCCUCUCCGGGAAGGCGCCGGUACGGGAUUCGCAACCGGGAUGAGGUCAGUUUUGUGAAAAGGCUCCGGCAAUGAACUCCCAGGUGGCCAUCCUGGAGCUCUUUCGGAAUUGGUCUGAGCCCCUUCUGAGUGAACCUCUUAAAAAGGCUUUGUAGGAGGGAGCAGGGAAGCCACUUCAGAUCUGCUUUGUUUCAGAGUAACCCCCAAAAUUGGUGCUCAGUUCUGCACAUAUGGAACAGCUGCCUGUGCGGUGAUUGAGAAUCCACAUUUGAAAAAGUGCUGGAUCUUUUUCUGAAGAUAUCAAUGAAUCUGAAGCCAGUAACAGCCAGCAACAUUAAAAUUUCUUAAAUUAUAA